AACGCAUAUUGCACUCUCUGGCAUUCCGGAGAGUAUGCCUGUUUCAGUAUCAUAAAGCAACUCAAAUCCCUUCUACGGGGAAUUUGGAUCUGGGUUUUGCAAAAAAAAAUUUUUUUUCGUUUUUGCUGACCUAAAAUACAUCUGCAAGAUCCACCCUUGGCAAUCAAGGCAUUAUAGUUGGCUCUGCCAAUCGUUUGCGGGCCUUGCCUGGGGCUGGAAUUAAAUUGUAGGCAAAUCCCUCUCUCCACUUUCGUUGAGGAGUGAGGGAAAAGGCCGACUUUGGCCUUUAUUUGGUAGCUCGAUCUGAAAUCAGGCAAGGUCACCCGCUGAACUUAA
rnacentral:misc_RNA from 1 species